rnacentral:rRNA from 1 species
UAUCUGGUUGAUCCUGCCAGUAGUCAUAUGCUUGUCUCAAAGAUUAAGCCAUGCAUGUCUCAGUAUAAAUUUUCUUACGGUGAAACUGCGAAUGGCUCAUUAAAACAGUUAUAGUUUAUAUGAUGGCCACUCAAUACUUGGAUAACUGUACUAAUUCUAGAGCUAAUACAUGCUGUCAGACCCGACUUUGAGGGAGGGUUGUGCUUAUUAGAUACUGAACCAGCCCACUUCGGUGGUUUCUAGUUGAUUCAUAGUAUUCCAGCGCAUCGCCACACGCGACGAAUCAUUCAAGUUUCUGACCUAUCAGCUCUCGAUGGUAAGGUAUUGGCUUACCAUGGCUUUGACGGGUAACGGAGAAUUCGGGUUCGAUUCCGGAGAGGGAGCCUGAGAAACGGCUACCACAUCUAAGGAAGGCAGCAGGCGCGUAAAUUACCUAAUCCUGACACAGGGAGGUAAGUGACAAGAAAUACCAAUACAAAGCUUACAUGUUCUGUAAUUGGAAUGAGAAAAAUCUAACCCAUCUACGAGUAUCCAUUGGAGGGCAAGUCUGGUGCCAGCAGCCCGCGGUAAUUCCAGCUCCAAUAGCGUAUAUUAAAAUUGGUGCGGUUAAAACGCUCGUAGUUGGAUAUUUGUUGAAGAAUGCUCGUCACCCCAGCGGUGAGUACUCGGUAUAUCUUUAACCUCUUACUGGGGGA